rnacentral:rRNA from 1 species
UUAAGCGACUAAGCGUACACGGUGGAUGCCCUGGCAGUCAGAGGCGAUGAAGGACGUGCUAAUCUGCGAUAAGCGUCGGUGAGGUGAUAUGAACCGUUAUAACCGGCGAUUUCCGAAUGGGGAAACCCAGUGUGUUUCGACACACUAUCAUUAACUGAAUCCAUAGGUUAAUGAGGCGAACCGGGGGAACUGAAACAUCUAAGUACCCCGAGGAAAAGAAAUCAACCGAGAUUCCCCCAGUAGCGGCGAGCGAACGGGGAGGAGCCCAGAGCCUGAAUCAGUGUGUGUGUUAGUGGAAGCGUCUGGAAAGGCGUGCGAUACAGGGUGACAGCCCCGUACACAAAAAUGCACAUAUUGUGAGCUCGAUGAGUAGGGCGGGACACGUGGUAUCCUGUCUGAAUAUGGGGGGACCAUCCUCCAAGGCUAAAUACUCCUGACUGACCGAUAGUGAACCAGUACCGUGAGGGAAAGGCGAAAAGAACCCCGGCGAGGGGAGUGAAAAAGAACCUGAAACCGUGUACGUACAAGCAGUGGGAGCCUCUUAAUGGGGUGACUGCGUACCUUUUGUAUAAUGGGUCAGCGACUUAUAUUCUGUAGCAAGGUUAACCGAAUAGGGGAGCCGAAGGGAAACCGAGUCUUAACUGGGCGUUAAGUUGCAGGGUAUAGACCCGAAACCCGGUGAUCUAGCCAUGGGCAGGUUGAAGGUUGGGUAACACUAACUGGAGGACCGAACCGACUAAUGUUGAAAAAUUAGCGGAUGACUUGUGGCUGGGGGUGAAAGGCCAAUCAAACCGGGAGAUAGCUGGUUCUCCCCGAAAGCUAUUUAGGUAGCGCCUCGUGAAUUCAUCUCCGGGGGUAGAGCACUGUUUCGGCAAGGGGGUCAUCCCGACUUACCAACCCGAUGCAAACUGCGAAUACCGGAGAAUGUUAUCACGGGAGACACACGGCGGGUGCUAACGUCCGUCGUGAAGAGGGAAACAACCCAGACCGCCAGCUAAGGUCCCAAAGUCAUGGUUAAGUGGGAAACGAUGUGGGAAGGCCCAGACAGCCAGGAUGUUGGCUUAGAAGCAGCCAUCAUUUAAAGAAAGCGUAAUAGCUCACUGGUCGAGUCGGCCUGCGCGGAAGAUGUAACGGGGCUAAACCAUGCACCGAAGCUGCGGCAGCGACACUAUGUGUUGUUGGGUAGGGGAGCGUUCUGUAAGCCUGUGAAGGUGGCCUGUGAGGGUUGCUGGAGGUAUCAGAAGUGCGAAUGCUGACAUAAGUAACGAUAAAGCGGGUGAAAAGCCCGCUCGCCGGAAGACCAAGGGUUCCUGUCCAACGUUAAUCGGGGCAGGGUGAGUCGACCCCUAAGGCGAGGCCGAAAGGCGUAGUCGAUGGGAAACAGGUUAAUAUUCCUGUACUUGGUGUUACUGCGAAGGGGGGACGGAGAAGGCUAUGUUGGCCGGGCGACGGUUGUCCCGGUUUAAGCGUGUAGGCUGGUUUUCCAGGCAAAUCCGGAAAACCAAGGCUGAGGCGUGAUGACGAGGCACUACGGUGCUGAAGCGACAAAUGCCCUGCUUCCAGGAAAAGCCUCUAAGCAUCAGGUAACAUCAAAUCGUACCCCAAACCGACACAGGUGGUCAGGUAGAGAAUACCAAGGCGCUUGAGAGAACUCGGGUGAAGGAACUAGGCAAAAUGGUGCCGUAACUUCGGGAGAAGGCACGCUGAUAUGUAGGUGAAGCGACUUGCUCGUGGAGCUGAAAUCAGUCGAAGAUACCAGCUGGCUGCAACUGUUUAUUAAAAACACAGCACUGUGCAAACACGAAAGUGGACGUAUACGGUGUGACGCCUGCCCGGUGCCGGAAGGUUAAUUGAUGGGGUUAGCGGUAACGCGAAGCUCUUGAUCGAAGCCCCGGUAAACGGCGGCCGUAACUAUAACGGUCCUAAGGUAGCGAAAUUCCUUGUCGGGUAAGUUCCGACCUGCACGAAUGGCGUAAUGAUGGCCAGGCUGUCUCCACCCGAGACUCAGUGAAAUUGAACUCGCUGUGAAGAUGCAGUGUACCCGCGGCAAGACGGAAAGACCCCGUGAACCUUUACUAUAGCUUGACACUGAACAUUGAGCCUUGAUGUGUAGGAUAGGUGGGAGGCUUUGAAGUGUGGACGCCAGUCUGCAUGGAGCCGACCUUGAAAUACCACCCUUUAAUGUUUGAUGUUCUAACGUUGGCCCGUAAUCCGGGUUGCGGACAGUGUCUGGUGGGUAGUUUGACUGGGGCGGUCUCCUCCUAAAGAGUAACGGAGGAGCACGAAGGUUGGCUAAUCCUGGUCGGACAUCAGGAGGU